rnacentral:rRNA from 1 species
GAUGAACGCUAGCUACAGGCUUAACACAUGCAAGUCGCGGGGCAGCAUGGGGGUUGCUUGCAAUCCCCGAUGGCGACCGGCGCACGGGUGAGUAACGCGUAUUCAACCUGCCCUUCACCACGGGAUAACCCGGCGAAAGUCGGACUAAUACCGUAUGUUGUCCAUUGACGGCAUCCGAUUUGGACGAAAGGCUUGGCGGUGAGGGAUGGGGAUGCGUCCGAUUAGCCAGACGGCGGGGUAACGGCCCACCGUGGCUACGAUCGGUAGGGGUUCUGAGAGGAGGGCCCCCAAAACUGAACUGAGACACGGUCCAGACUCCUACGGGAGGCAGCAGUGAGGAAUAUUGGUCAAUGGGCGUAAGCCUGAACCAGCCAAGUAGCGUGCAGGAUGACGGCCCUAUGGGUUGUAAACUGCUUUUAUGCGGGGAUAAAGUGGCCCACGUGUGGGCUUUUGCAGGUACCGCAUGAAUAAGGACCGGCUAAUUCCGUG